UGGGUGAUCGUUAAAGGACUUUAAUAAUUUCUAUAUUUGUCAAUAUUAUGAUAAUAUAUAACUUUUAAAAGCUAGAGGAGAGUGAUUUCUAAAAUAAAAGUAUAAUUAUAAAGAUUACAAAACAAAUAUGAUUUAUAAUUUUUUUAAGGUCAGAAGAAUCAAGGACCGCUCAAGUAAGGAAUCAGGGAUGUAUGAAGUAUUUCACAUAUGCUUUCUUACUCAGUCAAUACUAUGUUCAGUAGCUAGCACUGACCUUAUUGAGAAUCAAAAUGCAUAAUUGAUCUAUUUAUACCACAGUCAUGUUUUGCUCCCAUGAAGAAAUUAAAAUGGAAUGUUAAUUACAAACCGUGUUCCCUGAAAUGGCAUUGCUAUUAUUCAAUUAUAUGGUAACUUAAAGCAAAAGGGUAAAAUGAAAUGAGUAACAAGACUAGUUUUUUUUUUUCCAUUGAGACACGUGUAGAGAGUGUAAAAUACUUUAGAUUCCGCGUACCUUGUGCUUUAAUGAAGUUUGUUUGUUUGCUUAACACACAUUAGAAAACUCAUUGCAACGAUUUACUGUAGGAAAUGGUUUCAACACCAUUUUCUUUAUUAGUCUGGAGGUCAACAUUUCAUUGCAAAGCUCCGAGAAACUAUUAUUGUCACUUUAUAUCAGAAGCAAUAAGGGAGGCAGGUUCUUCCUCCACUUGUAAAUGUCAAGUGGCUUGCUGUGGAAAUGCAUAUUUUCCGCCAUAAAUUAAAGUGUAAAAAUACUUAUAAAAUAUUUCAAUAAGAUGAUAUUUAUCAUGCAAGCAGCAUGCAAGCAAGCAGCAGGGUGUUUAUGGAAGAAAGUUUUACAAUGUCUGGUUUAGUUGUGUAACUGAUACAGUGGUUCAAUAUUCUGUUAGUUUAUUUUUGACAUUUCAAAUUUAUAGCCUGAUAGCCAUGACAUAACAGUGUCAAAAUAUAUCUACAGAAGUCAGCCGAGACGAGAAAUCUUCAGUAGCCUCUUCCAAGAACACCACGGGGCCGUCCAGCCACAAAAACGUCCCUUCAUGGAGAGAGGUCGCUAGGAUGAGACAACCUGCACAGUAGAGAAGAAGCCCUCCCCUGACAAGGAUGACAAGGCAGAGAAAAGAUACACUGCUACGAAGUACUACGUUAAGGUUAAGACCUCCUUUGGUGAGACGCUUCUACUAGAGGACACCUGUAGCGAUGCACAACAAACCCCUGCUAAGGGAAAACAGCCUCCGCCUGCAAAAAAGCACCAGUCCAAGAAGCACCUCUCUGGGAAGAGGCAUCGCGUUUCUGAGAAAAGUCGUCCUGAGGAGCCGUUUGUCGCCUUUCUGGCACGCCUCUUACUUGGUGUCAGCUUCACAAAGUCAACUCUUUCAGCAGCAUGGUGCUCGCCAACAUGAGGCCUUUUCUUUCCGGAACUCAAUGCAGCAAUCUUCUGGCUUUAUCUUCAAAAAACAAGUGAAUUCCCAGAUUUUCUGGGUUUUUCUGGAAAACUGGACUGGGUGCAAUCCCAAAAGUCUGUAGCCUGAAUUAAUUCUACGACCAGGAUCCAAUCUCCUGGUUGUGUUUCAAAUUUAGCUCUUUUUAAGGACGGCAGAGGAGCGGGAGUCAGGAGCUCAACUGCAGCAAGUCCAACCGCCAGCGCAGUGUCUUGUUUCUCUGGCAACUGUCUGUACACAAACGUCAUGGUGGGGGCGGGCUUAGGCCCUUCAGCCAAUCACAAUCUUAUGUAAAUUAAACUAUAUUCCAUCGCCCAAUGAUUGGACAACCAUUCUGAUGUCACAGUAAUGGCGCCAGGGCAGGGCCAGAUUCUGAUGUCAUAGUAAUGGCGCCAGGGCAGGGCCAGAGGGCUUCCUUUACUUUGUUUUUUCUUUUAAAGACCAGAUUGUACUCAAACUCACAAAGAUCUAUCCCAAGCUUCUGCCUCCUCGGUGUGGGCAUUAAAGGCAUGCAUGUCCUGCUUAUCUUUCUUGAUUAUUUCAACUUCCUUCCUUUGACCCUUUCUCUGCCUAAAUCGCUUGGUUCUUAUUCUUCAUCCUGAGUGCAAGGGUGUGGAGAAGCUAUGGGCUUGAGCUUCCCACAGCCCAGAGGGAGAAAAAGAAAGGCGCGUCAUCUCCAGCAUCUCAUCAUGAGGAACAAUAGGACUCCUAGCAAUGAAAGAGAUAUCUUGAUAGAGGGGACCAUUGUGGGGUUAGGGACAAACCUGGUGCCAGGGAAACUUCCAGGAAUCCAUAAGGAUGACCCCAGCUAGGACUCCUAGCAAGAGUGCUGAGGGUCCCUGGACUGGCUUUCCCCUGUAAAGGAUUGAUGACUACGCUAACUGUCAUCACAGAGCCUUCAUGCCACUAACUGAUGCAAGCAGACGUAAAGAUCCACAGCCAAGCACUGGGCACCGGGGGUCCAGUUGAAGAGAGGGAGAAGAGAUCAUAUGACCAAAGGGAUUCAAGAUCAUGACAGGGAAACCCACAGAGACAGCCGACCCAGGCUUGUCAGCUCAUGGACUCUAGACCCACUGCUGAGAAGCCUGAAUGGGACCAAACUAGGCCCUCUGCGUAUGGGUGACAGUUAUAACUCGAUCUGUUUGUGGGACCCCUAUCAGUGGAACCAGAAUCUGUCCCUGGUGCAUGAGCUGACUUUUUGAAACCCAUUCCCUAUGGUGGGAUGCUUUGCUCAGCAUUGAUGUAGGAGGGAAGAGUUUGGUCCUACCUCAACUUGAUAUGCUAGGCUUUGUUAACUCUUCCUGCGAGGCCUUACCCUUUCUGAGGAGUGGAUGGGGGGCAGUAGAAAGGCAGUGGGGGAGAGAACGGGAGGAGAGGAGGAAGGGGAUACAGUGGUUGGUGUGUAAAAUAAAUAAAAACUUAAAAAUAAAAAAAUAUAUCUACAAAGUUGUGGAAUAUUCCUGUUUUUUUUUUUUUAAAUCCCUGCUGAAAUAAUAAUCCUUGCAAUUCCAAAGCAGCAUUUUCCACUUGAGAGUUAAACUGCUGCCAAAUGCAACAAAAGCAAGCUUUCAGCUACUUCUAAAAUAUUGUAAGUCUAUUUACAAAAGAGGAUUCAAAACAACUAGGUGAUUAUUCCCACUCUAACAAAAGCAGAGUUAAAACAAUCAGUCUCUAAUCACAGAGGGGAAGUAUCAAAUGCUAAUGUGAAACAAUAGUUCUUCCUUUCUGUACAUUUAACCUGUGCUCACUCACAGAAAUUUAUUUUCUCUGAACGUCAUGUGAUCUUUUUAAAGAUAGGGAGAUGUAAAACUCUAGAGGAAAAGACAUGGCCAAAUACCAAUCCUGAAUAAACAAAACAAAAAUGACAAAAAACAAAAACAAAAACAUAUCCGGCAGAUCAGCUCUCCAUAUUAUAUUCUGGCAGGUCAUCCCACAGAGCACCAACAAUUUUAGCUGGCUGCAUGUGUGAGUGUGGAAUGCUUUCAAAUCUCUCUUCCUUUUCUGCUGCAUACACAGAGAACCUAAGAAACAAGUUCUGUCUCUUCUUUUGUCUAAGGAAAGUUCAAACGUGUCUCACAUCACCCCACUCAAACAGAAAACUUAAUUCAAUACAUUGGAACCAAUCUUUAUGUUUCUUUCCCUUAAACUAGUUCUGAACCAGCCUAACAAACACCAACCUUUCCACUACGAGAAUCAUGAGUGAGAAAACAUAUUUCUUUAUUUUGUCAUAGGUGCCAAGCUCCAUAAUAAACUAACAUUUUGUGUUGGAAGGAAUAUUCCUCACCUUCACAAAAUAUCCCUGAAACAGAUGUACAUCAGAAUUACAAUUUUCUUCAUAAACAUUCCCUUCCUAAUCUCUGCAAACAAAGCCUUCUGCUUGCUCACAUCCCAUGAUAUUCUUUGUAUAGAUUUAUACAAGUUGUAAGUUUCUAUUGCCAGCCCAUCCUCCUUUAAGAGACUAUGUAAUGAUACGUACUUCUUGAUAUAUACUUGUAUCAUUUUAUUACAAGUGAAACUGCUAUAUGGAACUUGAUGGGUUUGUCAUUUGAAACAUUUCUAUAUUAACAAAAUUUGAAAAACAAAUUGUGUUACCCAAUUUUACCAUGAAUAGUAAAAACCCAGGGGAAGAUAUUGGGGUUCAAGUUGAAGAUCAGGAAAGCAAAGCACCCAAGCCAGUAGCUCUUACCACUUCCAAGAUGAAAUGCCAAUCCUGUCUCCAGGAAUUCUCAUAGAAAAAGUUAUUCAUAAAUCCUCACAGGUAAAUGCUCUGAGUUCCUCUCUCCUCCAGACUCAUAACUUUCUCUGCCCAGCCAUAACACUCCUGUCUCCACCUCCCUAGUGAUGGGAUUAAAGGUGUGUGAUCCCAAAUGCUGGGAUUAAAGGCGUGAGCGUUGUUACUCUUUUGGACUGAAUCACUCUUGUGUAGGCCAGGAUGUCUUUGAACUCACAGAGAUCCAUCUGCCUCUGUCUCCUGAGUCCUGGGAUUAAAGAUAUGUACCAUCACCACCUGACCUCUAUGGAUAGCUAGUAUGGCUCCUGGGAUUAAAAGUGUGUAUCACCAUUGCCUGGCUAUAUGGCUGUGGCUAGCUUUGCAUUUUGAAUCCUCAGGCAAGCAUUAUAAAUAAUAUAUCACCAGAACCAAUUAGCUUGUUUAAAUGGCUUUAUGCUUGACACCCUUGAAAACAAAUUAGAAACCAGGCUAGAAAGUAUCAGCAUGGUGUUGAAAGUAGGCAUGUUCUUUGUAUAUUUUGGAAAUCAGCCCUCAGUCAGAUGUGGAGUUGGUGAAUAGCUUUUCCCAUUCUGUGGGCUGACAGUUUGUCUUGUUGACUGUGUCUUUUGCCUUACAGAAGCUUCUCAGUUUCAGGAGGUCCCAUUUAUUAAUUGUCUAUCUCACUGUCUGUGUUACUGGUAUUAUGUUCAGGAAGCAGUCUCCUGUACCAAUUCAUUCAAGGGUAUUACUUACCUUCUCUUCUAAGAGGUUCAGUGUGGCUGGAUUUAUGUUGAGGUCUUUGAUCCAUUUGGACUUAUGUUUUGUGCAUGGCAAUUGAUAUGGAUCUAUCUGCAGUCUUCUACAUGCCAGCAUCUGGUUAUGCCAGCACCAUUUGUUGAAAAUACUUUCUUUUUCCAUUGUAUAAUUUUAUCUUCUUUGUCAAAAAUCAGGUGUUCAUAGGUGUGUGGGAUAGUAUCAGGGUUUUCAAUUCUAUUCCAUUGGUCUACCUGUCUACCUUAUAGGCCAUCAUAGUACCUUUAUCCAGUGGCUGAUGAGAGCAGACCCAGACACCCACAGCUAAACACUGACCUGAACUCUGGAACCCAGUGCAGAGAGGGAUCCUGAAGGAGGAAGUCAGUUUGGAGGUCUAGAAAAAUCUAUGGGACCACUGGUAGUGGAUCAGUAUUUACCCCUAAUACACAAAUGAACUUUGGGAGCCCUCUCGUCAUAGAGGGAUACUCUCUCAGCCUACACACAAUGGGGAGGGUCUAGGCCCUGCUCCAAAUGAUAUGCCAGGUUUGAAGAUCCCCCAUAGAAGGCUUCACACUCCUGGGGAGCAGAAAGGGGUUAGGAUAGUGGGUCAGUGCCAGGCAGGGGAGGAGGAGAGGGAGAGGGAACUGAGAUUGACAUGUAAAAGAAGCUUGUUUCUAAUUUAAAUAAAAACGAAGAAAGUAGGUGCAGUGUAGCUUUUAUCUAGUUGAGUAUUAUACUUUCAAAAGUGCAUAGAACCUGCUAGCUAUUAGAAUCAACAUUUUAAAUAUUGCAAUCUAUUACUCAACUUGUCUUUGAAGAUGGGAAAGCAUUCUAAAAUGACAAGAGGUUGACACAAAGGUUGAGUCUAUGCUAAGUGAUCUUAAGCUAACACCCUCUACCUUUCUAAAUUAUAGAGACUAAAUAUCAGCAUGUUUCCCAAGAAGGCUUCCAACUUUUGAUCUUCUCCUCUUUGCUACUUGAGUAGAUGAGAAUUCAGGCCUGUAUUACAAAAACAGGAUUAUUAUUAAGCGUUCAUACUAAGCAUUUAAAAUAAGCAAAUCAACAUUUGGAGAAACUAAAACUAUUAAGCAACCAAAAAAUAAAUACUUAAAGAGUUUGGUCAAAGGGUAUUUUAACAAUGAACUAAUGUAAAUGAACAAACCAAAAUGCACAAAUGAGCAUAACCUAGUACUCUAAAUAAACAAAGGUAGCAUCAUUUUGUUUCUUGCUCAUGUAAAUAUUUCCUUAAUCAUUUCUAAACACAUUUGUGGUUUCUAACAUCAGUGAACUCAUUUUAGCAGGUUUAGAUCAUUGUGAAACUAUAGUAACACAUUCUAUUGAGUAAUUCCAAAAUAACUCUAACACUUUCCCAGUUAAAUGCUUAGCUUUUGGUUUAUGUCUAAUAAUAAAUGCAAAAGUUUAAAUCCAUAUUAAAAAUAACAAAGAUUUCAAAAUAUACAAUGAUAGCCAGUGUCCCUGCCCUCACAUCCUCAUUACUUAGAAAGAAUUAAAAACAUUUCUAUUCUAAUUUCCAAAUCUGCUUUCUGAUUGGACCCUACACUGAAAUAGAACUUUAAGGAUAAGAUAAUCAGAAAAAAAAGCAUUUUUAGUCAAUUGACUUUCUGUAUCUUCAGGCUAAAUUCUAAUCUCUGCUCAGCUGCAGGACAAGGAGUUUGUUGCAAAAUCAAAGCAAACAACCAACCAAUCAAACAAACAAACAAAAUGAAACAAAAUAAAACAAAAAUACAUUGUCAUUAAUUUGUGUCUGGCUAUUUUCCUGACAGAAUGCCCUUAAUCAAAUAAUUAUCCAUAUACACAAAAAUAUUUUCAUCCACAGAGUUUUGAGGUUGAUGCGAAGAACUCAUGGGAGAAAUGUGUACUUCAAAAUAUUCAUAUUGGGACAAAAGACAAAAACAAAACACACACACACACACACACACACACACACACACACACACACACACACACACACCUGCUUUUCUUCUUAAUUUUCUUGAGAAUAUUUUUUUGGCAUUUGAGAAAAUGUAGUAAGAAUGUGGAAAAAUAGCCUUAAUCUUCCUAUAGAUUUGCCUGUUAACCCUGCUAGAGAAUUUUGUUGUAUUUGAGAAUAGUUUAAAGAUAGGUGAUAGGGUAUGGGCCAGCAGUCUUUGACAGAAGCACUGAAAGUGUGAGUCACCUGAUUUAUUUUCAAGGGUAAACUAUCUUGAUUUUGAGAGGAAUCAAGGGAAGGAGGUGUGGCUGUGAAAGAGAAAUAUACUGCAAAACUCUACCCAGGAGAUGUCAUGGCUUUGGGAGAAAAUAAAUUUAUAAACAUACCCUGCUAUACUGGUCCAAGGCCCAGAGUGAAGAGUUGAAUGAUGUAGUUUGGAAUCCCCAUCAUAUUGCAAAUACCAGCCAUCCACAGUUACAUAAUUUCAAAUCCAAUGAUUUUUUUUCCACCAUGGUAUC
ensembl:lncRNA